UACAGGAGGUCCCGAGCGUUGUUCGGAUUCACUGGGCGUAAAGAGCUCGUAGGCGGUCUGUUGCGUCCCGCUGUGAAAACUCGGGGCUUAACCCCGAGCCUGCAGUGGAUACGGGCAGACUAGAGGUAGGUAGGGGAGAAUGGAAUUCCCGGUGUAGCGGUGAAAUGCGUAGAUAUCGGAAGGAACAUCAGUGGCGAAAGCGACUUCCUGGACCAAUACUGACGCUGAGGAGCGAAAGCCAGGGGAGCAAACGGG
rnacentral:rRNA from 1 species